AGUGAACGCUGGCGGUAGGCCUAACACAUGCAAGUCGAACGGCAGCACAGUAAGAGCUUGCUCUUACGGGUGGCGAGUGGCGGACGGGUGAGGAAUACAUCGGAAUCUACUUUUUCGUGGGGGAUAACGUAGGGAAACUUACGCUAAUACCGCAUACGACCUACGGGUGAAAGCAGGGGAUCUUCGGACCUUGCGCGAUUGAAUGAGCCGAUGUCGGAUUAGCUAGUUGGCGGGGUAAAGGCCCACCAAGGCGACGAUCCGUAGCUGGUCUGAGAGGAUGAUCAGCCACCCUGGAACUUGGACACGGGCCAGGCGCCUAAGGGAGGGAGCAGUGGGGAAUAGUGGGCAAUGGGCGCAAGCCUGAUCCAGCCAUACCGCGUGGGUGAAGAAGGCCUUCGGGUUGUAAAGCCCUUUUGUUGGGAAAGAAAAGCAGCAGGUUAAUACCCCGCUGUUCUGACGGUACCCAAAGAAUAAGCACCGGCUAACUUCGUG
rnacentral:rRNA from 1 species